ensembl:lncRNA
GAAGGAGGCCGGAAGGAGGGAGGGGCAGAGAUGGAGAAAGGCACCAGGAGAGAAACUCAGGAGAGACGGAGCACAGCUAAAGCAGAGACUGAGAGGCCAGGCCCAGGCACACUCGGAGAGAACAGGGGUGGAGAGAGGAUGGAAAGACACUCCAAACAUAAAAGCAGGUCCCCGGGGACGGGGCCAGUCUGCAGGGCCGGGAAAUGGGCAAGUGAGGCAGAGGGGGUGUGGGUCAGGCCCACACGACCGUCCUAGCCGGCAUCUCCCAGAGCCGGGCCUGGCCCUGCGUGUGGCUGGUGCCCUGUGAACAAACGCAGCUCUGCUCUGUGGGUCUCCUUGAUGUGGCUCAAGGGGUGCAGCCCUCCCGGUAGGACCCCAGAAUCUGCUUGCUUCAAGGCCCUGGCCCCCAGGUGCCUGCCACAUGGGCUCACCCCGGCAGGCCCCCAAAACCAGGCUUCUCCUCACCUGGCCCAUGGUGUGGCCAGAGAAGGGUGCCUCCAGGGUCCCCUCAGCUUGGCCAAAUGGCCCGAGGCUCUGCCAGCAGAUCCACCCAGAUCAUCCUCCCUCUGAGGCCCCUACAAAGGGCUGUUUUCCACCCUGAGCCCCUCUCGUGUGGGGAACAGCUGAAGUGUGUCCCCAGAAUGCCUGGAUACCGAGGGUGGCCCUAGGUACACUAUGGGCACGGAUUCCCAGGCAAGCAGAAUUUGCCCCAGGUCAGCUCCCAGGCACAGUUCCAGUCUGUGGCCCUGGGGCCUCCCCUCAUCCUGGGCCUGGUGGGGUCAGAGGGUGGAGCCACAGACAGCCCUGCUCUGCAGGAAGUGGGGGUCCCUGAGGGUCCCGGGCAGACCAGGGUAAUGACUAAACUGGGUUUUAAGGAGGGGAAUGGAGCAGCGGUGUGUUGUGUGAGGCCCUGGGACCUCUGACCUUGUCAGUUCACCCGUUAUCACAAUUCCCCAUGGCCGUCUCCCCAUCUGGCUUGGAUCCCAAGGACAUGUGGGUCUUAUUCAUCUUUGUGACCAGGGUCCAGGAGAAGGUGGGCAGGGUCUCAAGAAACCUGUGUUGAGUGGGUGAGAGAGGAAGCCAGCAUGCAGCACCUCCUGCUGGGGUGACGCCCGAUGGAGGCCCCCAGAGAUGGGACCCCCAGCGGGGCAGGAGUAGAGGGGGGCCCAGGGCAGUGUUUGGGGCCAAGCAGGUCUCCCCAGCCCAUGAGGAGGGUCUCAGGGAGGGAACGAGCCCUCCCUGUGUCUGCCCCAGGACCAAGGUUGGCAACCACAGACCAAGGGACUCAGAGCCGUCCCGGGCAGGGAGGGGCUCGAGGAUGACCUGGCACUUUGGAGUGCUGCUGAUACCGUCAAACAGGAGCCAGGAAUUAAAAAUAACCGCCUGGCGAGAAAGCAAGACUCACCCCACCCCUGCCCAGCUGGUCUCUAUAUUUAAUGCGUCCUGUCCUGCCUGAAGGUUAGGUGGGAUUUGGGAGACGCUGUGACUGGCCAAGGCUGGGAUGGGCGAGACCAAAGGGCAGGAGGCUAGGGUCCCUGGGGAUGCCCACCCCAACGUCCCCCAAGGAACCACGAGCGCCCAGGACCCUGGGCUGCGUGCAGCCUCAGAGGGUGUUUGUCAGACACACCGCACAGGUCUGAGCCUCACCCUCCGCUCCUGGCUCCCCCACAGCUGUCAGCUGCCUGGAACCAGAUCACGGUGAGGUGCCUGCACCAGGGGCCGGCCGUGCUGGGAGGCCUGCUGCCCAGAGCCGCAGCCACUGCUGGUGGAAGGUGGCCUGCACACCGACCCUGGGAGGGUCUCAGCUGGUUUCUCCAAAGAGCCCCAUGUCCCCAGGAUGCGCUCUGUUACCUCACGGCCGAGCUGCGCCGAGGCCCUGGAGCCCGGGACGCGGCCAUCUGGAGAGGUGUCUCGCUGAGCAGCAGCAUGGGACUGCCACAGCGGCUACCCCCUGCAGAGGGCCAGGCAACUGCUGGACUACUGCUAACUACUGAACGGUGCUUAACGACCACUGACCACUGGUCUAAUGAUUUUUGGCUGAAUACUGCACAUUCUGUAAAGACUCUGGAUUCUGUUGUCUUCCUCUGAAGACUGUUGGCUCUUCUUUUAGCAGCCAUUCGAUCACUGGACCUGUGUAGGCUUGUUUUCACGCUUUGUUGGUGUCGAUCUGUGGAACGCCCGGUGUUUCCAAAGCCCCUCAACUUGCUCCCCAGGACUCCACCCCCAGCCGCUGGGCUCACCUGCACACCAUGCUCUGCUGCAGCAGCGCGGCCAGAAGACUGUCCCCCGGGGCUGGCAUGCGUGGGCCCACCAGAGCUCCCUCCCCGUCCACCUUACCCUCUCCCCACUGGAGCGGCUGCUGCCGUCUUGGGUCCAGUGCCAGCGCUCUUUAUGGAAUAGGGAUGGCCUGCUAUUUGCCGCUUCUCCACGAUUAUCUGAAGGAAUUUAAACUUACAGAAAAGUUGCUGGAGUCGUACCAAGGACACUGCCUCGUGCCCUCCGUCCACACGCGCCGCUUCUUCCUCUUUGCUCCCUUGCCUUCCCCAUCCUCUUUCUCUGCGUGUGUCUGGUUAUAUUCUUUGUUCUGAACUGUUUGAGAAAAGGUUGCAUAAAUCAUUGCCUUUACUCCUUACUGCUUCAGUGUAUAAUUCCAGUGGGCACAGUACUUCUGCCUACAGUCCCUGUUCUGAGCGCGUCAGCUGUCCCAACCAGACUUUCGCAGCUCUAUUGUUUCCCAAUCCAGGGUCACAUGUCGGUUUCACUCAUCAAGCCUCUUAGUCUCCUUAAUCUGAAACAGUUCCUCAGCCACUUGUGUCUUUUAUGACACUGACAUUUUUUAAGAGUGCAGGCCAGUUGUUUUGUAGGAUGUCCCUCUAUUUGGGCUUUUCUGAUGUUUCUGCAUGAAUCGGUUCACAGUUUAUUUUUCUGGCAGAGAUACCACCAGAGCAGUGUGUAUCCUUCCUGAUACAUCAGACAGGCAGGUGCCAGGUGUCAGUUUAUCCAUUAGUGGUGAUGUUAUCCUUGACCACCCGUGAAGGUGUCCACAACUUUCUCUACAGUGAAGUUACUGCUUCCUCCUUUGUGAUUAUUAAGUAGCUAAUGAGGAUGUACUUUGGAUUCUGUAAAUAUCCUGUUCCUCAUGGGAACCCCUCCCUCACGUCAGCACGCAUUGGUGAUUCUUACCUAAAUCAAUCUUCACUGUGAUGGUUGCGCUUUUUAAAUUACUUAUCUACCUAUUUUUGUUUUCUGAAUUAUCACACAGAAAAUUGACUUUUUGGAAGGUGUGCAGUUCUAUGAAUGUUAACACACGUAUAGAUUCCUGUAGGCACAUCACUCAGGACACAGAAUGUUCUGUCACCUAACAGCCCCCUUCGGCUCUCCCUUUAUACUCAGACUGUGAUAACUGGACAUCCAGAUGCAGGAGAAUGAAGUCGGACCCCUGCCUUAUGCCAUACACAAAAAUUAACUCAAAGUGGAUCCAAGGCCCAAUAAAACUAUAAAACUAUUAGAAGAAAACAUAGGUAUAAAUCUUCAUGACCUUGGAUUUGGCAAUGAAUUUUUGGAUAUGACAUUAAAGACACAAGCAACAAAAGAAAAAAUAGGUAAAUUGGACUUCAUCAAAAAGGAUACUAUCAAGAAAGUGAAAACACAAUCUACAGAAUGGGAGAGAAUAUUUACAAAUCAUAUUGGAUAAUAGUCUAGUAUCCAGAAUACGUAAAGAAUUCAUACAACUCAAUAAUAAUAGGCAGAUAACCCAGUUUAAAAAUUGGCAAAUGAUAUGCAUAAAUAUUUAUCCAAAGAAGAUAUACAAAUGGUCAAUAGGGACAUGAAAAGAUGCUCAACAUCAUUAGUCAUUAUGUACCUAAUAACAGACCAUCAAAAAAUAAGAAAGAAAAUUUACAGAAUAAAAGUAGAAAUAGUUCUACAAUAAUAGUUGGUGACAUCAAUACCUUGCUCUCAAUAAUGGAACCAACCAGAUCUGACAGACUCGCACAGACACCCCACCCAACGACAUUA